GGGUUGUAAUUGAAUCCGCUGUCAGACCCAUGGGGCUCAGUUCUUCAGCUUGGAUAUUUCUGUCUUCACAUACACAGGAGAUCAAAGAAGCACUUGAUCAUUCGCUGACUCUUCUGGAUGGUGAUAGCAGCAAGUAGGAGAGAAAGAAUAACUGAUGUGAAUCACUUUUAACAGGGAGGUUUCAUUGCAAAAGCCAGGCUCUCUCAUGUUAAAUAGCUAUGUAGUGAUUGAAUCUUUCCUUAGCUGAUAUGCUUCGUGUUGCUGCUCACUGUUUAAUUCACUCUGUUCUUUCCUCUCAGUUUUAUGAAGGUUACAUGUAAGUCCCUGAGAUAUCGUUGAUUAAAUGACGGUCCCCAAAUACUGCAAAGAGGUGCAGUGCUCCUAACGGCACCUAUGGUGAGCUGCACUAGGUCAGUCAAGCCCUGGACCUCCCCGGUCUGAAGGCCAUGUUUACCUACUGAUAAUCUGCUGUAACCUCCUCUGUCUGGUACUGCUGCUGUACAGUUUCUCUUGCUUUGUCUUAUGCCAAAGACCCAUUUUCAGACAACAAAACCACUGAGUUGUGACUGUAAAGAAUAUGCAUUUGUACCAGUCACCAGCACACUCACAUAAACACAGAUUUGCUUUGCUGAAGAUGGUGAUGUGCUCCCAAAGUGUUUGGAGCAGGGAGCAUCUAGUGUAAUCAGUGAUGGCAGUGUGUGUGCUGUUUGAAGGCUCAGCAGCAUAAGCAUUCCCUUAUUGGGGGAUUCAUUCAAGUCACAGGUUGAUUUUUUUCUUUUUUCCUCAGAGGAUCUAUGUUCAAAUUUUUUGUUCAGCCAUCAGGAAAAGUAAUAUUUGUGGUCUUUAAGCAUGUAAAAAGUUAUUAUUACCAAUGAGCUUUCCACCUCUUUCCUGCAAUAAUAACACCUUCCUAAAUUACAUUUUUCCAACUCAGUAAAGUGGAUCAUGCACUGAUCUUAUCCCUGUGGUGCUUUUAAAAGCAUAGAAAUAUUAAAAUCCCACAGGUGCAGGAGCAGCGCAUUCAGCUAAGUAGCUUAAAACUGUCAUGUGCCUUUUAUUCUGAAAAUGUAUUUACACUAAAAAUAAUCAGAUAUAAUCACUGUUGCCUGUGGAUACAGAUGUACCUUUAUACUGAUGUGCUUUUCAUAUAAAUUUUUAUUCUAGGUUUUGAAGAGUUUCUUUGUGGCUGUCUGAAAGGUAUCAUGCUCACCAGUCUAGAGAUUAUAGUUCUUGGAAGAGCUCACCAGUUCCACCAGCUCCUGCUGCAGGAAUAUCCAUUAAACAAGAGGGAGAAACACACAAAGCAAAGGAUGAUAUUGAAGUUUCUUUUUUUUUUUUUUUUUUAUUUGGCUGAAGGUGUAAAACUUCAUCUACUUCCUUCACUAUGAAGCCCAGCCUCCAGGCAGUGAUGCAGCAGAGAAGAUGGUGUGUGUAUGGUGGUAACCACACAAGGCCACUGAUGAAAUCAAGACGGUCCUUGGUUACAGGAGUCUUUGCAGUCCCAUCUCUUUGAGGGCAGUCCUCAAAAUGUGGUGCUACUAGAGUUACUCCUGAACCUUGCUUGCCCUGGAUGACAAAGCACCUUCUUUUUGGAUAUUCUUGGGAUCUUUAAACCAGUAAGUUUUCAAGACCCAGACUGUCCUACUGACAGUGCUGUGUCUUUCCAGCAGACUAGAAAGUAUUUUUAGCAUGUGGUUUCAAAACAAUGAACUUUCCGUCUGCCUAAUUAUGCUGCCUCGCAGAAUACACGUUUAUUCUACUUCACUGUAACCGGGGCAGUCCUCAGGAUGCCCCAGCCUGCAGCUCACGCCCCAGCCAGCCCGCACAGGGAUACGUGCCUCUCAGCACACUGCAGUAUUGCAGUGUCACAGUGCCGAAGGUAAAGCGGCUCAGUGACUCAUUUCCUGAUGCUCUGUCAGAUGUACGACAUGUUAUGUGUAUUAAUUGAUACAAGUCCUUACUGAAUUCAGCAGCUUUGUGCACAAGCACCAGAAGAGAAAGCAACAUGACUCCGACGACUGCAUCUCUUCUGAAGGAUUUUCUCAUCUCCUGUUCCCUGACUUACAGAACUGAUCUUUUUAAUCUGGUCCUCUAAAUGGUUCAUUUUGGAGUGAAAUUCUGAUUUUUGAUUGUGCUCUUUUUCCUCUUGGCAGAAUCAUUCAGGUGAAUUCAGCUAUAUUUGUUAGUGCUGCUAUAGAUUUGAAACUUGAUUUUCGAGCAAGUAAAGCAUUUGCUAAAAAGAUAGACCCUCUCUAUAUAUUUUUCAAUCUGAUCUGUGCCACCUUCUGGUGCUUAUUCACAGAUCUUACUCUGUUUAUUUUGUUCUGAAUAAAUCAAUGGGCUGAAUCCCCCCGGCACAGCUCUGGCAGACCAGCAAGGCUACCUACAUUUUGCAGAUGAAUAAACCGUCCAAACACUUAAAAUGGAGAAGCAGCCCUGAAUUCUGUUGCAUGCUCGUUGCUCUUCACUUGUGGCUUUCAGCUUACUAUUCACAACAAACAAAUGAGGACAAACACCUACACCCUUCUCCUGGUAUGAGCAUCGUGCCCCAGUGUCACCCACUGCCACUGUGUGCAGUUUGCUGCCUCCCCCUCCCUUGGCUGACAGUCCGUCCCCACUUCUUGGUCCUUGAUCCCUCCCUGCCUCUCUCUUGUGGUUUGUUUUUGGGUUUUGUUUUGUUUUUUUCUUUUUUUUUUUUCCUUUUCUUCCCUGUAUAUUGUGGGAUUGCCCCUUUUUGAUUUCUUUUUCUUUCCUUUUUUUUUUUUUUGGUAGCUCAUCCCCCAGGACUCUUUUCUCUCUGAUUCAAGAUAGUGCUUGAAUCUGGUGGGGAAAAAAGCAAACCUUGAGUGCUGGAGGGGCUUGUGCAGGACUUCAGAAGUAGAAUGGAAACAAAUGGUGAAGCAAUACAGAGAGGGGAGCGGACAAAGGGAGAGAGGAGCUAGCACCGCAAUAACAGAACCCCAGGGAAACUGUGCUCUGGGGUGAGCUGGGGGCCCUUUCACCGUAGAUGAAGUCUGUUAAAUACAGACUGACACUUCAGCUGAACUCAGCAUCGGGAUGUUAGAAUUGGAGAAACGCCCCAUGGACUGUCCUUGAACCAACAAGAUUUGAGUCAAACAAGACUUCAGGGUCACAGCCACAGCCCUGAGCGGCACAGGGAACAGACGCAUCUCUGCACCUCAUGGUACCUGGCGAGGACAGCUUUUCAGCCCCAGAAGUUACUUAACGCAGAACACAACGGGAGCCCUCUCUGGAAGGACAAAAAGAAUUGCUCACUGCCAUGCAAGCGUCCAGCUGUAUUCAGCUUGCUUUUGGGCUGGUGUUGCCUUCAGUCCCUCUCUCCCACGUCAGCCAGUUCCUUAACCAGUGCCCUCCACUUCCAUCCCUCCUGCUGUGAAACCCCGGUGGUGGCUGCACCCUCCUGGGCGAUGCAGGGCUUGCAGAAGACCUUUAGUCCCGUGCCUCCAGGUGCAAGGGCAGGAAGGUGGAGAGACAUGAGAGUAGCUGCUCAUCCUCUGGUGCGUGGUAGGAGCUCGACCCAUCUGUGGAGUGACUCACAGCGUCAGGAGACUGAUUAAGCAGACGAAUACCUCUGUGUGGGUUAUAAAUAGCCUAAGGAGUACAUAGCCUAUUUCAAGGCAAAGUCAGAGGAUGACCUUGAUCGUCGUCACUGGCAGCUUACAUCAGCCGAUGUGCCUUUGCCCAGAGGUGGAUCAAACAGGCGUGCAUGUCGGAGCAGGGAUAGCUGCGAGGAGAAACUCCUUCUCCGGGGAAUCUCACUGGCGACUCUCCUGUCGCUGCAUUACCUGACUGCAGCUCCAGCCCGGCAUCAGUAACUACGGAUGGAAAUGCGGUGUCAGCAUGUUAGCAGACACGCUGUGAAUAAGCUUGCGGACAGGACCCUUCAGACCACGUACGUUUAAUCUUAGUGAUGGAUUUAGCUGGGGUACAAGGGAGUUGCCUUCUCCACCAGUGCAGCCAAGUUUAUCCGGGACUGUGAAUUGAUCUGAGCCCCUGGAUGCCUACAAGUACGGCCCUGCUAUUAGGGAGCAGAAGUGGGGACACUUCAAUAGCAGGUCUCUCUUGGAAAGACCCAUUAACCCCUCCCCCCCCCCCCCGUUAAUCCAGAGAUACUCAGUGGGGUUUGUCUCAUCUCUGUCCAUUUAACCUCAGCUGUGCGCUGUUUCUUCAGCCCAGGCAGCUGAUUGCGUUCCCAAUUCCACUUAAGCUGGCAGAGUAUCUUCGAACAGCCCAUUACAGCUGCCAGUCAUCUAAAUUACAUCAUUUGCAUUGAUUUGAUUAAUACAAAGAGGUUUUAUCCAUUUAGAACGGAAACUGAUUUUCUGUUGCCGUUGUGCACACGACGCCUGGAGACGAAGGCACGUCGGGCUUGCUUUGCCUUCCAGACAUCUCUGUUCCCACCGCGCGGCUGGUGCCCAUCAGCUCACGGAGGUACCGCACUGUGCAGUCAGCGAGGCCCGUUUCAGGGCGUCCCUGCUUGUUUCCCACCCACCAGGAAUCAUUUUAUCAAUGCUGUAUUUUCCCUGCACAGUUGCCACUUUUCUCCUAUCAAAGAGAUGAAACACAACUACCUUGUGCUAGGACACAGCCACGAGAGAACAUAUUAAACUGAAGCUCAUCACCUCAUCGGCCUAUGGGUUGCAAAGUAUUUGAACAAUGAAUUGAACUCUUUUCCUCCGAAAUGAAGCCAUUUGUCUCCUAAAAGGGAACUUCCCUAUGAUGAAGAAAUCCAAAAUUCCACUGGGGUUACAUCUUUGCUUCAACACUGCUUUUCUCCCGUAGCUGUGGAGAAAUGUAAUGCUAAAAAAAAGUAGAAAAUGGUAUUUUAUUGUGUCAGUGAAAGGAGGGGUGAAGUGAGAAAGGGAAAGCUUAAUUUAAAAAAAAACAAAAAAGGCAGAGAGAGUUUCUGUUACAGAUGGAAGGUGGAACCACAAACUCCAGAAAGCCAGAUCAAAUGCCAUACAGAUAGAUUCCCUCAGUGAUUAAUUAGUUUGUCAGGAAAAAAAAAAAAAAAAGUCAAAUAAACUGUGUUUUUCACUGUUUCUUUUGCCGGAUCCCAUGUUACGCUCUUGACGAUCCCAAGGGGAACCCUCCGCUGCUGUCUGUCUCAAACCACUUUGUUCUGGUGCCCUCUGCUCAGUCCCAGGCUGCUCCCGCCUGCAGAGAGCGUGGAAAGAGAACAGAAAAACCUCAGCGCCUAUGGGGAACAGUUAUUUUUGGGGAGUGUUAUCAACUUACCUUUCAUUGCACUCUGUUUUGAGGCAGCAAGGCUUUUGCUUGGUGACUUUAGGACAAAACAAGUUGCUCAUUCUCUCUUCUGAAAGAUAUCCCAUGUCUGGAAGGGAGCUGAGGCCAGAAUGGGGAGAGAGAAAGCGUCACGACGAGCAUGAACUGCCUCUCUGAUCUGGUUUGGUGUCAUCCUAGCCUGUGGAGUAGGAAAUGUUCUGACUGCAUGCAGCAAUGACAGAGUUAGAUAGUCUGUAAUUACCAUCAGUUGUUAUAUAUGUUUGUUAUAUAGCCAGUGUAAGAGAAAAAUUGCUCAAUAAAAUUUUUGCUUCGUGAAGCUAUGGGAACUUUGCAGCAUAAAUAGCUAUGUAUACAUUGGUGUCAGACCUUGUGGCAUCUAUGUUCUUAAGGGGAAAAAAAAUCAUCAUAUUUAAUCACUAAGCUAGUAAGAGUGCUUUUAUCUUGUCCUAGACACCGCCACCCUUGCCGCACUUCGCAGGCCUGGCACGCAGGCGUGUCCGUGUGCCCUGCAAACCUGUGCUGAAGGUGGUGUCUCAGCUCGGCUCAUUGCCCAGCUGCGGUAACAAACAUUGAUGAAGAUAGAACUGAAAAUGCUGAAACACUCAAGGAAUAGUCAGUGUCCUCAAUUACAUUUGUCGAGUGAAUCUGAGAGUAAAACCUGCUGCCCUACAGGUCUGAUCCUGCUGGCACGUCCUGCAGGGGGGAGCCACGGGGCAGCCUGGUGG